rnacentral:rRNA from 1 species
GAUGAACGCUGGCGGCGUGCCUAAUACAUGCAAGUCGAGCGAAUGGACGAGAAGCUUGCUUCUCUGAUGUUAGCGGCGGACGGGUGAGUAACACGUGGAUAACCUACCUAUAAGACUGGGAUAACUUCGGGAAACCGGAGCUAAUACCGGAUAAUAUUUUGAACCGCAUGGUUCAAAAGUGAAAGACGGUCUUGCUGUCACUUAUAGAUGGAUCCGCGCUGCAUUAGCUAGUUGGUAAGGUAACGGCUUACCAAGGCAACGAUGCAUAGCCGACCUGAGAGGGUGAUCGGCCACACUGGAACUGAGACACGGUCCAAACUCCUACGGGAGGCAGCAGUAGGGAAUCUUCCGCAAUGGGCGAAAGCCUGACGGAGCAACGCCGCGUGAGUGAUGAAGGUCUUCGGAUCGUAAAACUCUGUUAUUAGGGAAGAACAUAUGUGUAAGUAACUGUGCACAUCUUGACGGUACCUAAUCAGAAAGCCACGGCUAACUACGUG